rnacentral:rRNA from 1 species
GAUGAACGCUGGCGGCGUGCCUAAUACAUGCAAGUCGAGCGAACGGACGAGAAGCUUGCUUCUCUGAUGUUAGCGGCGGACGGGUGAGUAACACGUGGAUAACCUACCUAUAAGACUGGGAUAAAUUCGGGAAACCGGAGCUAAUACCGGAUAAUAUUUUGAACCGCAUGGUUCAAAAGUUAAAGACGGUCUUGCUGUCACUUAUAGAUGGAUCCGCGCUGCAUUAGCUAGUUGGUAAGGUAACGGCUUACCAAGGCAACGAUGCAUAGCCGACCUGAGAGGGUGAUCGGCCACACUGGAACUGAGACACGGUCCAGACUCCUACGGGAGGCAGCAGUAGGGAAUCUUCCGAAAUGGGCGAAAGCCUGACGGAGCAACGCCGCGUGAGUGAUGAAGGUCUUCGGAUCGUAAAACUCUGUUAUUAGGGAAGAACAUAUGUGUAAGUAACUGUGCACAUCUUGACGGUACCUAAACAGAAAGCCACGGCUAACUACGU